rnacentral:rRNA from 1 species
GACGAACCGUGCGAACGUUAUUCGGAAUCACUGGGCUUAAAGGGUGCGUAGGCGGGCACGCGAGUCAGGGGUGAAAUCCCACGGCCCAACCGUGGAAGUGCCUCUGAUACCGCGAGCCUCGAGGGGGAUAGGGGCGUGCGGAACUUCCGGUGGAGCGGUGAAAUGCGUAGAUAUCCGGAGGAAUACCAAAGGCGAAGGCAGUGUCCUGGCUGGCAUCUGACGCUGAGGCGCGAAAGCUAGGGGAGCGAACAGG